rnacentral:rRNA from 1 species
UACGUAGGGUGCGAGCGUUAAUCGGAAUUACUGGGCGUAAAGCGUGCGCAGGCGGUGAGCUGUGUCCGAUGUGAAAGCCCCGGGCUUAACCUGGGAAUGGCAUUGGAAACUGGCUUGCUCGAGUGCGGCAGAGGGGGGUGGAAUUCCGCGUGUAGCAGUGAAAUGCGUAGAGAUGCGGAGGAACACCGAUGGUGAAGGCAGCCCCCUGGGUCGACACUGACGCUCAGGCACGAAAGCGUGGGGAUCAAACAGG